AUUGAACGCUGGCGGCAGGCUUAACACAUGCAAGUCGAACGAGUGGCGGACGGGUGAGUAAUGUUUGUGAAUCUAGCUUAUGGAGGGGGACAACUACGGGAAAUUGGAGCUAAUACCGCGUACUAUAGGAUGAGCCCAAGAGGGACUAGGUAGUUGGUGGGGUAAAGGCUGACAAAGCUGACGAUCUCUAGCUGGUCUGAGAGGAUGACCCGCCCAACUGGGACUGUGACACGGCCCAGACUCCUACGGGGGGCCGCAGUUGGGAAUAUUGCGGAAUGGGGGCAACCUGACGCAGCCACGCCUCGUGAAUGAAGAAGGCCUUCGGGUUGUAAAGUUCUUUCGGUAGCGAGGCGUUACCUACAGAAGAAGCACCGGCUAACUCCGUGCCAGCAGCCGCGGUAAUAC
rnacentral:rRNA from 1 species